GCCCAGGGUAGCUUAGUGGACAUGGCAUCUGCCCGGUUAGCGGAACACUAUAGGAUAGAUUCCCAUCCCUGGACA
rnacentral:tRNA from 1 species